UUUAGACCAGAUCCUGACCUAAGUAAAAAAAUACGGAUAUGGAUUUGGACCAAGCAGGAUUCGAUCUAGGUCCACAUCUGGAAUUGGUGAUGCUGCUGCAUGUCGGUGGUAAGCAGUCGAUGAUCAAGAGAUUGAGCACGUGCGAGCUGACAAAGUGUAAGUUGGAGCCGAUGAGUACGGGGGGCGGUUAAGUUGAUGCCGGAGGUGGGUUGCUGA
rnacentral:lncRNA from 1 species